GACGAACGCUGGCGGCGUGCUUAACACAUGCAAGUCGAACGAUGAAGCUGGAGCUUGCUCCGGUGGAUUAGUGGCGAACGGGUGAGUAACACGUGAGCAAUCUGCCCUUGACUCUGGGAUAACUGCGGGAAACUGUAGCUAAUACCGGAUAUGAGGCUCGAAGGCAUCUUCGGGUCUGGAAAGAAUUUCGGUCAAGGAUGAGCUCGCGGCCUAUCAGCUUGUUGGUGAGGUAACGGCUCACCAAGGCGACGACGGGUAGCCGGCCUGAGAGGGUGACCGGCCACACUGGGACUGAGACACGGCCCAGACUCCUACGGGAGGCAGCAGUGGGGAAUAUUGCACAAUGGGCGAAAGCCUGAUGCAGCAACGCCGUGAGGGAUGAAGGCCUUCGGGUUGUAAACCUCUUUUAGCAGGGAAGAAGCGAAAGUGACGGUACCUGCAGAAAAAGCACCGGCUAACUACGUGCCAGCCGCCGCGGUAA
rnacentral:rRNA from 1 species